CUUCUGCCUUCCAGACCAACUCUUUUCCUUUCUGUAAGGCAACAUGAUCUCAGGACAGCUAACCCAUGGAAAGUGCCUGCAGUUCCAAGUGCCACACUGGAAUUCUCAGAAGAAAGACAUCUUGGGAACAAGUUCAUGCACCUUGUUCACUGUCCCUGCCACUACUGCCAUCCUUCACUGCCAUCAAAACCCAUCUUCUUCAGCCUCCCAACAUGGACUGAAGGCCAGUGGCCCUCCAGGAACCCUCCAGUUCUUCAACACCAGUUGGGGACUUCUAAGAGAUCUAGCCUCACAGGCUGAGUAGCUACUGUGUUCUCAGGCUCUCUAGAGGAAAGAUCGUCAUUGAACUAUCUAGAAUGUGUAACAUGUUAUUGCUGUGUCCAUGAAUGCAUUUCUACUGGGUAUGUAAUUAGAAGUGAAACAGCUGUGUAAUAAGCUUCAGGUAGCAACAACAUUGCUUAUGACCACAUCACUGAAGCCUCUGCCUCCAUCAUCAUGUAGCCCUCUUCUCUUCUGUCUCUCACUGUGUGAGGGUUAGUGUUGAUUGACACCUUGAGGGAAUUCAGAACCACCUUGGAAUACCUGUGAGAACCACCUGGGUGCACCUGUGAGAAUCGCCUGACAUACGUGUGAGAAUUACCUGGGUGUACCUGUAAAAAAACACUGGAUGCACCUGUGAGAACCAUCUAGACACAUGCAGCUCAAAGGAAAGCAAGACUCCAGCACAUACCCUGCAGAGUCCUUCAGAAAGGGCUGCCUAUCUAAAGAAAGGACAAUCAAGAGGUCACAUCUCCUGAGGAUCUAACCAUUCAACUCCCCAAUCCAGUGUGAUACAUACAGCAGUGACACCUAAACUAUUACAAAGGAACCCAUUUGCCCUGAGUCGGAGUUGAGGAUUCAUGGAAAAGAGGGCUACAAGAUUCUUCAAGCCAUACCUGUGGUGGCCUUUGAGGCCUCAUCAGUCCUCCACUGGAGGGAGGUGGAGCCUGAGGGAGGUAGAACUUGGCAUCCCUCGUGGGAGAAGAUUGAGUACAGCCCUUCUAUCCUGGCAGGACUCCAGAGCACCUGGAGGGAUCCACACUGUCCUCACUCUGGGGUCCUCCCUUAGAGGCUCCAUGCCUGGGAGACCCUUCCUACCUCUUUUCUCAAGCAUGGCUUGAGUUCAUCUCUUCUGGACAUUACAGGGUUCCUUGUCAAGAGGAACUGCCAUACAGGAGUGGUAAAACUGCAGUGAUUCCGUGCACCAGUCCAAUGUUCCACAUUUGUAUUUAUAUCUGUAUUAUAUGAUAGAAAAAUAAACUUUGGAACCCACGGCAAUAGCAGAAAACUUAAAUUUUUCUUGGGACAUGAAAAAACAAGUGAAAACCGCCAUGUCAAGCCUAGAGGAAGACCACAGAAGAGAAGAGAUUGUCUUUAACAGCACAUCUUUUCUGCUUUUUAACUUUUUUAACGAGGCCACACGUUUUCAUUUUGCCCCAAGUCUCACAAAUUACCAAGCAACUCUGGUUUCAGCUUGCCCCUUGCCAAAGCCAACCCUGCCGGCUUGUGGCUGAACCCAAAAAUAAUGGCAGAACUCAUUUCACAAUACUGUGACUUUCUAUGAGUGCCCUGUGGUGACUCACAGCUCAAGACUGUAUAUUCCUCACUUGUCUGAAUGCAAAGUAAGAGUGGCUAUUUUUAUAGAACAAAACCAAUGAGGGGGGAAUUGUGGGAUUCAGCCCAUCUGUAUGCAC
ensembl:lncRNA